rnacentral:rRNA from 1 species
UGCAACCUACCUAUCACUGGGGGAUAGCCCGGGGAAACCCGGAUUAAUACCGCAUAACACAGGGGUCCCAUAUGGGAAUAUUUGUUAAAGAUUUAUCGGUGGUAGAUGGGCAUGCGUUCGAUUAGCUAGUUGGUAUGGGUAACGGCCUACCAAGGCGAUGAUCGAUAGGGGAGCUGAGAGGUUGAUCC